AUGGUUGAGUUUCUCAGUGAAGGCUGGAGGUCCAGACUUCUGUGUUCAGGGUCUGGGCAGUGUGGACGCCGUUCCCUGGAACUAGGAGCGUGGGGACUUGCCUUCUGGGCCUGGCGGUAUGGGAACUUAGAGGGUGGGGUGAUGUCUGGGACUGAUUUGCUGGAGACGUUCACGCCAAAUCUCCUGUCUGGAUAUCUGAUCACUAAUGUCUCCGGAGAGGGUCUCCUGGGUCCUAGGACCAGGUAUCCGGGUGCCCGGUUCUUUGGGCAGUACCGAGGGUGGGGAGAGGGGGGCUGGAAUAGAAGGCGGAAAAUCCUGGGGGACCAGGAUAAACAUCAGUGGGCGCCCUGGUGGUUCCCGGCUCGUGGGCGGGACGAGGGGCGGGGCGGGACUCUCCACCUACCAGGGACCGAACACGCAUGCGCGCGCACACGCCCUCUUUCUUUCUUUCGCUCUGUUUCUGUCUGUCUCUGUCUCUUUCUCUGUCUCUGUCUCUUUCUCUGUCUCUCUCUGUCUCUGUCUGUCUGUCUCUGUCUCUUUCUCUGUCUCUUUCUCUGUCUCUGUCUGUCUGUCUCUCUGUCUGUCUCUCUCUCUCUCUCACACACACACGCACACACACAUCGGCCCGGCUCCACCCAGCCGCGCCCCGGCCCCAUCGCGCUCCGCGAUCAGCACCGAGGACAGCGCCAGCCGCCCGAGUGCGGGGGCGGGGUCCGGGCGGGGCCGGCGCCUAGGUGUCUCCCGGGAGGGUCCUGUCCAGCCGCUGAGCAGGUAGGAGCCUCUGGGUCCCGCUCCCUAAGCCCCAACCUCAUUCCCAUCCCUAGAGAAAUGGGAUGUGUGUGCAUGUGGAGGGGACACUGGGAAGGACCAACAGAGGGAGUAGGAGGGCUGGAUCCUGAAACGGGGAGAUUGGGAUUUAGACACAGGUGUGGAGACAAAGAGCCAGAGGGGAGGGAGGAGCAGGCGGGGGAGAGACCCCGGGAAACGGACCAGACAACAGGCAGAGAGCGAGACAGACACAGACGGGAGAGGGGCGAGGGGCCGAUGGGGGACGGACAGAAAUAG
rnacentral:lncRNA from 1 species